rnacentral:rRNA from 1 species
CAGCCGCCGCGGGAAUACGUAGGUGGCAAGCGUUGUCCGGAAUUAUUGGGCGUAAAGGGAGCGUAGGCGGUCGGGUAAGUUGGAUGUGAAAUCCUGGGGCUCAACCUCAGAACUGCAUUCAAUACUGCUUGGCUAGAGUACUGGAGAGGUGAGUGGAAUUCACGGUGUAGCAGUGAAAUGCGUAGAUAUCGUGAGGAAGACCAGCGGCGAAGGCGGCUCACUGGACAGUUACUGACGCUGAUGCUCGAAGGCCAGGGGAGCAAACGGGAUUAGAUACCCCUGUAGUCCCUGUCUCUUAUAA